rnacentral:rRNA from 1 species
GAUGAACGCUGGCGGCGUGCUUAACACAUGCAAGUCGAACGAAGAUACUUAAAAUGAGAGCUUCGGCAGGAUUUUUAUUUAUCUUAGUGGCGGACGGGUGAGUAACGUGUGGGCAACCUGCCCUAUACUGGGGAAUAAUCACUGGAAACGGUGACUAAUACCGCAUGUCAUCACGAGAAGGCAUCUUUUUGUGAGAAAAGGAGUAAUUCGGUAUAGGAUGGGCCCGCAUCUGAUUAGCUAGUUGGUGAGAUAACAGCCCACCAAGGCGACGAUCAGUAGCCGACCUGAGAGGGUGAUCGGCCACAUUGGGACUGAGACACGGCCCAAACUCCUACGGGAGGCAGCAGUGGGGAAUAUUGCACAAUGGGGGAAACCCUGAUGCAGCAACGCCGCGUGAAGGAAGAAGGUUUUCGGAUCGUAAACUUCUAUCAACAGGGACGAAGAAAGUGACGGUACCUGAAUAAGAAGCCCGGCUAACUACGUG